UUAUCGUCUGCGGGUCGCUGAAAAUCAGCGAUCGGGUUUAGCAGCUCGGUCA
rnacentral:ncRNA from 1 species